rnacentral:rRNA from 1 species
CGCAAGGCAUCUGUGAAGGUGCUGCAUGGUUGUCGUCAGCUCGUGCCGUGAGGUGUCGGCUUAAGUGCCAUAACGAGCGCAACCCUUGUUGUCAGUUACUAACAGGUUCCGCUGAGGACUCUGACAAGACUGCCAUCGUAAGAUGUGAGGAAGGUGGGGAUGACGUCAAAUCAGCACGGCCCUUACGUCCGGGGCUACACACGUGUUACAAUGGGGGGUACAGAGGGCCGCUACCACGCGAGUGGAUGCCAAUCCCAAAAACCUCUCUCAGUUCGGACUGGAGUCCGCAACCCGACUCCACGAAGCUGGAUUCGCUAGUAAUCGCGCAUCAGCCACGGCGCGGUGAAUACGUUCCCGGGCCUUGUACACACCGCCCGUCAAGCCAUGGGAGCCGGGGGUACCUGAAGUGCGUAACCGCGAGGAGCGCCCUAGGGUAAAACUGGUGACUGGGGCUAAGUCGUAACAAGGUAGCCGUACCGGAAGGUGCGGCUGGAUCACCUC